rnacentral:misc_RNA from 1 species
GAUGAAGAACGCAGCGAAAUGCGAUAAGUAAUGUGAAUUGCAGAAUUCAGUGAAUCAUCGAAUCUUUGAACGCACCUUGCACCCUUUGGUAUUCCGAAGGGUAUGCUCGUUUGAGUGUCAUUGUACUCUCACACUUCUAAUUCCUUUCGGGAUUGGGAGCGGUGGACUUGGGUGUUGCUGCUUUAGUUGUGGCUCACCUCAAAUAAGUUAGUGCAACUCUUGGUUGGACAUAGUACGGCGUGAUAAGUGUCUUCGCCGGCGCCUCUGUAAGGAGGGUGGCCGAUCGGGAGCUCUGUGCUUCAAACCGUCUUCGGACAAUCUUUGACAACUUGACCUCAAAUCGAGUAGGACUACCCGCUGAACUUAAGCAUAUCAUAAGCGGAGGA